CCAUCAAUGUGUGCCACCAUGUCACCAAGGAAAGCAACAACUAGACUUAGCCUUGAAACAGGACUCAAUUGUAGUUUUAUCUAGUGAAGUUCACAGAAAACGAUUAGAGGACAACAUCAUCGAAGAAAGAGACUUUGUGAACCGGCUCCCAAAAUUAACCAUUUACACCAAAAAUACCUCCAAAAGAAGAAAAAGUAAAAGCCCCAAAUGACCAAGCUAAGCAACAACUAGACUUAGCCUUGGAAACAAGCCUCAAUUGUAGUAAUUUUUAUCCAUUAA
rnacentral:lncRNA from 1 species